UACGGAGGGAGCUAGCGUUGCUCGGAAUGACUGGGCGUAAAGGACGCGUAGGCGGCUCAUACAGUCAGGCGUGAAAUUCCUGGGCUCAACCUGGGGGACUGCGCUUGAGACGUGUGGGCUUGAGUGGGGAAGAGGGUCGUGGAAUUCCCAGUGUAGAGGUGAAAUUCGUAGAUAUUGGGAAGAACACCGGUGGCGAAGGCGGCGACCUGGUCCUUGACUGACGCUGAGGCGCGAAAGCGUGGGGAGCAAACAGG
rnacentral:rRNA from 1 species